UGCCGAACGUGCACCUUCAAUGGGAACUGCAGAUAUAAUAUAUGAUAAAGACAUUGGUUUUGAAUUCGAAGAUGACGUAGUUUUGCAUGCCCAAUGUGGACCUCCAACUGAAACUGCAGG
rnacentral:lncRNA from 1 species